rnacentral:rRNA from 1 species
AUUGAACGCUGGCGGCAUGCCUUACACAUGCAAGUCGAACGGUAACAGGUCUUCGGAUGCUGACGAGUGGCGAACGGGUGAGUAAUACAUCGGAACGUGCCCGAGAGUGGGGGAUAACGAGGCGAAAGCUUUGCUAAUACCGCAUACGAUCUCAGGAUGAAAGCAGGGGACCGCAAGGCCUUGCGCUCACGGAGCGGCCGAUGGCAGAUUAGGUAGUUGGAGGGAUAAAAGCUUACCAAGCCGACGAUCUGUAGCUGGUCUGAGAGGACGACCAGCCACACUGGGACUGAGACACGGCCCAGACUCCUACGGGAGGCAGCAGUGGGGAAUUUUGGACAAUGGGCGCAAGCCUGAUCCAGCCAUGCCGCGUGCAGGAUGAAGGCCUUCGGGUUGUAAACUGCUUUUGUACGGAACGAAAAGACUCUAGUUAAUACCUGGGGUCCAUGACGGUACCGUAAGAAUAAGCACCGGCUAACUACGUGCCAGCCGCCGCCGUAAGAC